GAACGCCGUAGCAAUACGGAGUGGCAGACGGGUGAGUAACGCGUGGGAACAUACCCCUCGGUUCGGAAUAACUCAGGGAAACUUGAGCUAAUACCGGAUACGUCCAAGGUUUUAAUCGACCUUGGAGAAAGAUUUAUCGCCGGGGGAUUGGCCCGCGUCUGAUUAGCUUGUUGGUGAGGUAAUGGCUCACCAAGGCGACGAUCAGUAGCUGGUCUGAGAGGAUGAUCAGCCACAUUGGGACUGAGACACGGCCCAAACUCCUACGGGAGGCAGCAGUGGGGAAUAUUGGACAAUGGGCGAAAGCCUGAUCCAGCCAUGCCGCGUGAGUGAUGAAGGCCUUAGGGUUGUAAAGCUCUUUUACCCGGGAAGAUAAUGACGGUACCGGGAGAAUAAGCCCCGGCUAACUUCGUGCCAGCAGCCGCGGUAAUACGAAGGGGGCUAGCGUUGUUCGGAAUUACUGGGCGUAAAGCGCACGUAGGCGGAUCCUUAAGUCAGGGGUGAAAUCCCGAGGCUCAACCUCGGAACUGCCUUUGAUACUGGGGAUAUCGAGUCCGGGAGAGGUGAGUGGAACUGCGAGUGUAGAGGUGAAAUUCGUAGAUAUUCGCAAGAACACCAGUGGCGAAGGCGGCUCACUGGCCCGGUACUGACGCUGAGGUGCGAAAGCGUGGGGA
rnacentral:rRNA from 2 species